ACAAAACUAUAUAAAUAUCUUGACAGAAAUUAAUCUUCAAAGAGCGUCAAACCACAUAUAAUUUCUCCUUCAAUAUUAAUCGCCAAUCUUCAUCGUUUCUAUCCACCCCUCAAUUCAGGAAAAAAAUAGAGAUUUAAUACAGUAUUCCACAACCAAAGGAAGAUUCGGCAGAGUUCAUUGUGAUUAUACGUGCGAAGUCUCAACCGUCUCCACGUUUCCUUCUUGGAUAUUUGCUUGUUUAUACUAUUUGCUAUAAUGUAUUAGUUUCCUUCUUGGCUUCUUUACUGCAUAUUCUAUUCUAUAUUUUCUUGUUUAUGCCAUUUGAUAUAAUUUAUUAGAUUAGUGGUGACUCCAUUUACUGUUAGUUUCUUUAUAUUAACUCCAUUUACUGUGUAAAAUAUUCGUUUAUUAUCAUUUUCAUUAUUGAUUA